GACGUAGGGGGCCAGCGUUGUUCGGAAUUACUGGGUGUAAAGGGUUCGUAGGCGGUGUAGCAAGUCGGGAGUGAAAUCUCUGGGCUUAACCCAGAGGCUGCUUCCGAAACUGCUGUGCUUGAGUGUGGGAGAGGAGCGUGGAAUUGCAGGUGUAGCGGUGAAAUGCGUAGAUAUCUGCAGGAACACCCGUGGCGAAAGCGGCGCGCUGGACCACUACUGACGCUGAGGAACGAAAGCUAGGGGAGCAAACAGG
rnacentral:rRNA from 1 species